rnacentral:rRNA from 1 species
GAUGAACGCUGGCGGCGUGCCUAAUACAUGCAAGUCGAGCGAACGGACGAGAAGCUUGCUUCUCUGAUGUUAGCGGCGGACGGGUGAGUAACACGUGGAUAACCUACCUAUAAGACUGGGAUAACUUCGGGAAACCGGAGCUAAUACCGGAUAAUAUUUUGAACCGCAUGGUUCAAAAGUGAAAGACGGUCUUGCUGUCACUUAUAGAUGGAUCCGCGCUGCAUUAGCUAGUUGGUAAGGUAACGGCUUACCAAGGCAACGAUGCAUAGCCGACCUGAGAGGGUGAUCGGCCACACUGGAACUGAGACACGGUCCAGACUCCUACGGGAGGCAGCAGUAGGGAAUCUUCCGCAAUGGGCGAAAGCCUGACGGAGCAACGCCGCGUGAGUGAUGAAGGUCUUCGGAUCGUAAAACUCUGUUAUUAGGGAAGAACAUAUGUGUAAGUAACUGUGCACAUCUUGACGGUACCUAAUCAGAAAGCCACGGCUAACUACGUGCCAGCAGCCGCGGUAAUACGUAGGUGGCAAGCGUUAUCCGGAAUUAUUGGGCGUAAAGCGCGCGUAGGCGGUUUUUUAAGUCUGAUGUGAAAGCCCACGGCUCAACCGUGGAGGGUCAUUGGAAACUGGAAAACUUGAGUGCAGAAGAGGAAAGUGGAAUUCCAUGUGUAGCGGUGAAAUGCGCAGAGAUAUGGAGGAACACCAGUGGCGAAGGCGACUUUCUGGUCUGUAACUGACGCUGAUGUGCGAAAGCGUGGGGAUCAAACAGGAUUAGAUACCCUGGUAGUCCACGCCGUAAACGAUGAGUGCUAAGUGUUAGGGGGUUUCCGCCCCUUAGUGCUGCAGCUAACGCAUUAAGCACUCCGCCUGGGGAGUACGACCGCAAGGUUGAAACUCAAAGGAAUUGACGGGGACCCGCACAAGCGGUGGAGCAUGUGGUUUAAUUCGAAGCAACGCGAAGAACCUUACCAAAUCUUGACAUCCUUUGACAACUCUAGAGAUAGAGCCUUCCCCUUCGGGGGGCAAAGUGACAGGUGGUGCAUGGUUGUCGUCAGCUCGUGUCGUGAGAUGUUGGGUUAAGUCCCGCAACGAGCGCAACCCUUAAGCUUAGUUGCCAUCAUUAAGUUGGGCACUCUAAGUUGACUGCCGGUGACAAACCGGAGGAGGGUGGGGAUGACGUCAAAUCAUCAUGCCCCUUAUGAUUUGGGCUACACACGUGCUACAAUGGACAAUACAAAGGGCAGCGAAACCGCGAGGUCAAGCAAAUCCCAUAAAGUUGUUCUCAGUUCGGAUUGUAGUCUGCAACUCGACUACAUGAAGCUGGAAUCGCUAGUAAUCGUAGAUCAGCAUGCUACGGUGAAUACGUUCCCGGGUCU